GAGUAGGGCGGGACACGUGGUAUCCUGUCUGAAUAUGGGGGGACCAUCCUCCAAGGCUAAAUACUCCUGACUGACCGAUAGUGAACCAGUACCGUGAGGGAAAGGCGAAAAGAACCCCGGCGAGGGGAGUGAAAAAGAACCUGAAACCGUGUACGUACAAGCAGUGGGAGCACCCUUUGGGGUGUGACUGCGUACCUUUUGUAUAAUGGGUCAGCGACUUAUAUUCUGUAGCAAGGUUAACCGAAUAGGGGAGCCGGAGGGAAACCGAGUCUUAAUUGGGCGUUAAGUUGCAGGGUAUAGACCCGAAACCCGGUGAUCUAGCCAUGGGCAGGUUGAAGGUUGGGUAACACUAACUGGAGGACCGAACCGACUAAUGUUGAAAAAUUAGCGGAUGACCUGUGGCUGGGGGUGAAAGGCCAAUCAAACCGGGAGAUAGCUGGUUCUCCCCGAAAGCUAUUUAGGUAGCGCCUCGUGAAUUCAUCUCCGGGGGUAGAGCACUGUUUCGGCUAGGGGGCCAUCCCGGCUUACCAACCCGAUGCAAACUGCGAAUACCGGAGAAUGUUAUCACGGGAGACACACGGCGGGUGCUAACGUCCGUCGUGAAGAGGGAAACAACCCAGACCGCCAGCUAAGGUCCCAAAGUCAUGGUUAAGUGGGAAACGAUGUGGGAAGGCCCAGACAGCCAGGAUGUUGGCUUAGAAGCAGCCAUCAUUUAAAGAAAGCGUAAUAGCUCACUGGUCGAGUCGGCCUGCGCGGAAGAUGUAACGGGGCUAAACCAUGCACCGAAGCUGCGGCAGCGACGCUGAUGCGUUGUUGGGUAGGGGAGCGUUCUGUAAGCCUGUGAAGGUGGCCUGUGAGGGUUGCUGGAGGUAUCAGAAGUGCGAAUGCUGACAUAAGUAACGAUAAAGCGGGUGAAAAGCCCGCUCGCCGGAAGACCAAGGGUUCCUGUCCAACGUUAAUCGGGGCAGGGUGAGUCGACCCCUAAGGCGAGGCCGAAAGGCGUAGUCGAUGGGAAACGGGUUAAUAUUCCCGUACUUGGUGUUACUGCGAAGGGGGGACGGAGAAGGCUAUGUUGGCCGGGCGACGGUU
rnacentral:rRNA from 1 species